UACCUACGGGGCGCAGCAGUAAGGAAUAUUGGUCAAUGGCCGAGAGUCUGAACCAGCCAAGUAGCGUGAAGGAUGACUGCCCUAUGGGUUGUAAACUUCUUUUAUAAAGGAAUAAUAAGAGCCACGUGUGCCUUUUUGCCUGUACUUUAUGAAUAAGCAUCGGCUAACUCCGUGCCAGCAGCCGCGGUAAUACGGAGGAUCCGAGCGUUAUCCGGAUUUAUUGGGUUUAAAGGGAGCGUAGAUGGGUUUUUAAGUCAGUUGUUAAAGUUUGCGGCUUAACCGUAAAAUUGCAAUUAAU
rnacentral:rRNA from 1 species